AUUGAACGCUGGCGGCAUGCCUUACACAUGCAAGUCGAACGGCAGCACGGGAGCAAUCCUGGUGGCGAGUGGCGAACGGGUGAGUAAUACAUCGGAACGUGUCCUGGAGUGGGGGAUAGCCCGGCGAAAGCCGGAUUAAUACCGCAUACGCUCUGUGGAGGAAAGGGGGGGAUCUUCGGACCUCUCGCCCAAGGGGCGGCCGAUGGCAGAUUAGCUAGUUGGUGGGGUAAAGGCCUACCAAGGCGACGAUCUGUAGCUGGUCUGAGAGGACGACCAGCCACACUGGGACUGAGACACGGCCCAGACUCCUACGGGAGGCAGCAGUGGGGAAUUUUGGACAAUGGGCGCAAGCCUGAUCCAGCAAUGCCGCGUGUGUGAAGAAGGCCUUCGGGUUGUAAAGCACUUUUGUCCGGAAAGAAAACCUCGUGGUUAAUACCCGUGGGGGAUGACGGUACCGGAA
rnacentral:rRNA from 1 species